rnacentral:rRNA from 1 species
UACGGGGGGAGCAAGCGUUGUUCGGAUUUACUGGGCGUAAAGGGCGCGUAGGCGGUCAGCACAAGUCAAUUGUGAAAUCUCCGAGCUUAACUCGGAAAGGUCAACUGAAACUGUGCGACUAGAGUGCGGAAGGGGCAACUGGAAUUCUUGGUGUAGCGGUGAAAUGCGUAGAUAUCAAGAGGAACACCGGGGGCGAAGGCGGGUUGCUGGGCCGACACUGACGCUGAAGCGCGAAAGCCAGGGGAGCGAACGGG